rnacentral:rRNA from 1 species
CCACCCUUGAAAGAGUGCGUAAUAGCUCACUGGUCAAGUGGUCCUGCGCCGACAAUGUAGCGGGGCUUAAGCACACCGCCGAAGCUGUGUCAUUGACACAAUAGAUCCAUGCGAACCCUUGAGGUUUGUGUGUAGUCGUGUUGAUGGGUAGGGGAGCGUCCUGCAUCCAGGGAAGCGGCGGCGGAAGCCAGUCGUGGAGGGUGUGGGAGUGAGAAUGCAGGCAUGAGUAGCGAAUGCAGAGUGAGAAACUCUGCCGCCGGAUGACCAAGGGUUCCUGGGCCAGGCUAAUCCGCCCAGGGUAAGUCGGGACCUAAGGCGAGGCCGACAGGCGUAGUCGAUGGACAACGGGUUGAUAUUCCCGUACCCGAGCAUGUGCGCCCAUGACGAGGCGUUUGAUACUAACCACCCAAAGCCAUCGUCCAAUGUCUUCGGACGGAGGAUGGUGUGUGGAGCGUGGGACCUGAUUUCGUAGUAGUCAAGCGAUGGGGUGACGCAGGAAGGUAGCUCCGCCAGGCGAUGGUUGUCCUGGUGUAAGCGUGU